AUUGAACGCUGGCGGCAGGCCUAACACAUGCAAGUCGAACGAGUGGCGGACGGGUGAGUAAUGCUUGGGAAUCUAGCUUAUGGAGGGGGAUAACUACGGGAAACUGUAGCUAAUACCGCGUACCAUAGGAUGAGCCCAAGUGGGAUUAGGUAGUUGGUGAGGUAAAGGCUCACCAAGCCGACGAUCUCUAGCUGGUCUUAGAGGAUGACCAGCAAAACUGGGACGAGUACACGGCCCAGAAUCCUACGGGAGGCAGCAGUGGGGAAGAUUGCGCAAUGGGGGCGACCUGACGCAGCCAUGCCGCGUGAAUGAAGAAGGCCUUCGGGUUGAAAAGUUCUUUCGGUAGCGAGGCGUUAACUACAGAAGAAGCAACGGCUAACUCCGUGCCAGCAGCCGCGGUAAUUC
rnacentral:rRNA from 1 species